rnacentral:rRNA from 1 species
AGUGAACGCUGGCGGUAGGCCUAACACAUGCAAGUCGAACGGCAGCACAGUAAGAGCUUGCUCUUACGGGUGGCGAGUGGCGGACGGGUGAGGAAUACAUCGGAAUCUACUUUUUCGUGGGGGAUAACGUAGGGAAACUUACGCUAAUACCGCAUACGACCUACGGGUGAAAGCAGGGGAUAUUCGGACCUUGCGCGAUUGAAUGAGCCGAUGUCGGAUUAGCUAGUUGGCGGGGUAAAGGCCCACCAAGGCGACGAUCCGUAGCUGGUCUGAGAGGAUGGUCGGCCACACGGGAACGUAGACACGGUCAAGACGCCUACGGGAGGGAGCAGACGGGAAUAUUGGACAAUGGGGGCAAGCCUGAUCCAGCCAGACCGCGUGUGUUAAGAAGGCCUUCGGGUUGUAAAGCCCUUUUGUUGGGAAAGAAAAGCAGCAGGUUAAUACCCCGCUGUUCUGACGGUACCCAAAGAAUAAGCACCGGCUAACUUCGUG